rnacentral:rRNA from 1 species
UGGGGAAUAUUGCACAAUGGGCGCAAGCCUGAUGCAGCCAUGCCGCGUGUGUGAAGAAGGCCUUCGGGUUGUAAAGCACUUUCAGCGAGGAGGAAGGUGGUGAACUUAAUACGUUCAUCAAUUGACGUUACUCGCAGAAGAAGCACCGGCUAACUCCGUGCCAGCAGCCGCGGUAAUACGGAGGGUGCAAGCGUUAAUCGGAAUUACUGGGCGUAAAGCGCACGCAGGCGGUUUGUUAAGUCAGAUGUGAAAUCCCCGGGCUCAACCUGGGAACUGCAUUUGAAACUGGCAAGCUAGAGUCUCGUAGAGGGGGGUAGAAUUCCAGGUGUAGCGGUGAAAUGCGUAGAGAUCUGGAGGAAUACCGGUGGCGAAGGCGGCCCCCUGGACGAAGACUGACGCUCAGGUGCGAAAAGCGUGGGAGCAAACAGGAUUAGAUACCCUGGUAGUCCACGCUGUAAAACGAUGUCGAUUUUGGAGGUUGUGCCCUUGAGGCGUGGCUUCCGGAGCUAACGCGUUAAAAUCGACCGCCUGGGGAGUACGGCCGCAAGGUUAAAAACUC